rnacentral:rRNA from 1 species
CAGCACCUCAAGUGGUCAGGAUGAUUAUUGGGCCUAAAGCAUCCGUAGCCGGCGCUGUAAGUUUUCGGUUAAAUCUGUACGCUCAACGUACAGGCUGCCGGGAAUACUGCAGAGCUAGGGAGUGGGAGAGGUAGACGGUACUCGGUAGGAAGGGGUAAAAUCCUUUGAUCUAUUGAUGACCACCUGUGGCGAAGGCGGUCUACCAGAACACGUCCGACGGUGAGGGAUGAAAGCUGGGGGAGCAAAACGGAUUAGAUACCCGAGUAGUCC